AGAACAGCUUCUCCUGCCUGGCAAUUGGCAGGAGGAAGAUGGCAGGGCUGCUCUCAGACUGGGAGCCUUUGACUGCAAAUUCCUGUCCAGAGGCUCAAAGUGGAACCCCAGAGGCCCAGGGGAUUCUUCUGGACCCAUAGAUGACCUCGAACUUCUAAUGUUACUGCCUCAAUAUCCCAGAACUGCAGUAACAGCAAACCCCAGCUCCCCUGACGAUGAUGGAAAACAGCAGAGACUCUGCAGUGUCCUCGGUUGCUAGGCUGAGAUGUUCAUUAGGUCAGGUCCCGAGGAAUGUCAUCCAAGAUGGACUUUUGGACUUCAAGAGUGUGUGUGCCAGGGGCUGGAGCGAUGGCUCAGCAGUUAAGGGCACUGACUGCUCUUCCAGAGGCGCUGUUCAAUUCCCAGCACCCACACAGUAGCUCACAACUGUCUGUAACUCCUGGAGCUGACAUCCUCACACAGAAAUACAUGCAGGCUAAACACCAAUGUACAUAAAAUAAAAAUAAACGAAUUAUUUAAAAA